CCCUGGUUCCGGUUUACGGGUACGAGUAUCGCCAUUUUGUUUACCAAUUUUUGCUGAUGUCAGCAAUUUUACCCGUAAUUUCUACCCGUUUCCCCGCGGUAAACCAAGGUCUACACGUAAACGACAAACGGGUACGGGUGUUUACUGUUUACUAUUUUUGGGCCGUUUAAAUAGUACAAAUUUUUAACAUCUUACCCAAAUAAAUAAUGCACAUAUGCUGGUCAAAGUAUUCAACAAUUUAUGGCGAACCUCAACAGCGAAAGUUGCCAUUCUCUGAUCGGUUUUCUCACGCCGGAGUAUCUUGGAUUUCUUAAGUUACAAGUUAUUCCCCGAUUUACGGGUACGGGUACGUGUAUAUCACCCGUACCCGUAAACCGGAAUCGGGGUAUCUUAACCUCUAAUUAUUUUUCAAAGGUUGCUCCCCCACUGAUGGAAUGUGUUGAUGCGCAGAAUAUAUGCGCAGAACGGACUUUACAGCAUCUUUAAAUUGAUAAAUGCAGCAAAAUAGAAAAAAGUACGUAAAUUUUAUUAGAAAUAACCCCAUGAAAAGGGUUAUAAUGAAUGUCUAAUUUUAAAAGUCAUCGAAACACUUUUUCGAUACCGUGCAGUAUCGACUACUUCCUGUUUGGGCCUGCUAUCGAUACCAAGUAAUCGCCCAUCGCUAAUUCCAAUGACCCUUCGGGUAACAUCUGCAUGUUUUGGCGCACGGGGUUUUUCUCUGAUUGGAGUUAAGAUCAAAGAAAAAUAUAUUCAUGCGCGAAACAUGAUGAUGUUGCGCCAUUAUGGACUUCAUACUACGCACAAAAACGGGGCACUAAUUUUCACAAUGGUCCUAUACGGGGCGUAUAAAAACAACUCGAAGUUCGCCGCACUAUUACUCGGCGUAUCAACAAAAUGUUUUCAUAUUCGGAAAGAUCAGGCUUUUAGCUAUGGAAUGAUAUGUUUUUCAUGCGUAUUUGCUAAUUUGUUAUCCAUUUCGCAUGAAGAAGAUAUCAUUCGACAGAUAAAAGCCUGAUCUUUCCGAAUAUGUAAAAAUCUCGGUCAUACACAGAGUAUUUUAGAUGCAAUAGCGCGCUGAAGUUCGAUUACCUUUUUCAUAGUUAAUAGAAUAGAUGGUUUGUAAACUUAUUUAGAAUAACAAUAUAACUCAUUAUCUAUAUUUAGUCAACGUUUAUUCAUAAAUCUGGUCCUUCACCGUCACGUGUGUAUUGUAUUUUUGCCAAAUCCACCAAUAGCACUUUCUUAAAUUAAGACAUUGCUAUUGGUUAGUUGGGCAAAAAUACAAUACGCACGUGACGGAGAACGACCAGAUUUAUGAAUAAACGUUGACUAACAUAGAUGAUGAGUUAAAUUGUUAUUCUAAUGAGUUUUAAAACCAUCUAUUCUAUUAACUAUGCUUUUUUAGCCUGUACAGAGAGCCUGCCAGGCUAGAGCUGUGCGGUUCCAAAAAUUUGAUCUCGGUUUCGGUUUUUUGGAACAAGAAAACCUCGGUUCGGUUUCGGUUAUUUUCAAAAAAGAAGAACAGUACAAAUGUAUGAACUCAUUUAUGUAUGUUUCGAGCAUUUUUACUAAAUAGAUGAAUUUAUGCCUUUGUAUAAAGUUUGUAUAAAUCUCUGAAUAUUUUAAAAGAACAAUUGGAAUUUAUUUAUGAAGAUGUAAUAUUUCUUAGUUUUUAAAAAAAUUUAAAGUAAGUUCACAAAAAUAACUAUCACAACUAAAGUAUCAACUAUUUGAGCACUUAGUACAGUGCAUAUUGUGUACAAAGAGCACAAUCUUGUUAUUUUCCAAACAUUUCAAAACCUGAUAUUGCUGUGUUGGUGUAAUGUACUCAGGUGAAUUAGAUGCUUGUGUGAUGUUACUCUGAGUGUGUAUUCACACAGGGCAGGCAUCCCACCGUGGCCAGGCAUAUUUUUCAAGCCUGCCCGGUGUGAAUACCGUACACACUCAGAGUAACAUCACACAAGCAUUUCAAAACCUGCAAUCAGCUGGGCGUUAAACGGGAAAUUAAAACCGAAACUAGCGGUCUUUUGCGUAUAGUUUUUCGGUGCUGAAAAAGUAGCGGAAGAACCGAAUUUUUUGGUUAACCGCACAGCUCUACUGCAGGCUACUAUAGAACCGUCCACUGGUCACAAAAGUGGGCAGGUUUGUGUAUUAAUUAUGCAUAAGUAAUGAAGCUAUAAUGACAGGGGUAAAAAAGAUCAGAAGUUUUUCAAAGGUUAAUGCGCAUCAUAGUGCAUACUGAUACCAACUUGUACUGAUUUGUGAAUCUUAUGCUGUUAUUGUAAUUUGUAACAAUAAAAGGCACAUACUGUUUAC